AAUUUGAAGCUUGGCUUCGAUGCUUCUGCACCUGCUGCUUAGGCUGUAACAAAGCACUGCCCAUCAGAACGCGUGCAAGAUAAACUGUUUUAAUUCCGCUAUAAACACUUUUUCCAAAAACUGCACCAGCCGUUUUGCCAGCCGAAUCUAAUAUUUUGCGGAGACGAUGAAAACGUGACAGAUCAACAUUCAACACAUUCUUUCGCGCGCGCUGCCUAUACUGCGAUCUCUUUAUUUUCAUAAUUUGAAAGUUGUAGUCAAAGUUCAGUCAAGGGGGUGAUCACUCUACACACUUGGUCGGCGCACUUCAUUUUUGGUUGUUCCUUGAGAGUGCCAAAGUGUGCCGGGCGUGCCAAGCUUGCUAUAAUUCCACAUGCUAUAAAAGCUCAAUGAACUGAAAUCAGAGUUUCCCAGCUCUGACUGAAAUCACAAAGAAACGAUCUCAGCAAACAUUGACAUCUUAAUUUAUUUUGAUUGUGUCUCUCGUUCUACAAAUUUUCUCUAGAACGUAAUUUUGCAAUUUUAUUUAUUUGGCUAUAAUUUGAAUCAUUUUCGGGAAUUUAUAAUCAAUCGUUCUUGUUAAACAUCUGUAUCCCAAAAAAAUGCAGGUUAUUUGAUUAAUAAAGAAAAUCAGUUUAAACUACAUGCUACAUAUUUAAAACUGCUUUGGUCCUUUCUAGCUUUUACCUGGCGUAUGUUGGUAUUAUCCAGCUUUUUACGCUAGCAUACCAUAAUUUUUGAAUCACCCCUUUUCGACAUUUCUUGCAUGCACUAUGAUUUUUAUAGCUAGAUUAAAGUAUGCACGGAGAAAACGAAGUACUCAAAAAUAAGUUUUUUUAUACUCAAAAUUAAGUUAAGACGGUCGAACUGAAUAGUUGGGUGAUUUUCGUUUUGACAAAUACGUACAUUUAACUCAACUUUUGAGUUGUCUAAUGAAAACUCAAAUUUGAGUAAAAAUAUACUUGUUUUGUUUAUUGCGCUCUUAAUCACAAAAUUUUAUUAUUUUGUACUUGUGUAUUAUACGAGUUACUAAAAAUAACAAAAAAUCCCAGAUUGUUACCUUUAUAAAUAUUACUGAAGUAUUGAGCGUUUUUAAAAUGUUUCUAAUAUUGCAAUCUAACCGAUAAAUUUGAUAAAGUAUAUAAAUCGACCAUCAAUUUGCCAAACACUUUAAAAACACAAAGUUGAGUAGAAAUAACUCAACGUUUGGCAUUUAGACAGCGUUCUUGCCGUUGAGUAGUUUAAACUCAAUUUUGGAUGAAAAAAUGUGCCAUCCAUUUUGAAAUCUCAGCACUAGUCAUUCGUAGUCUGUUUUCGUCGGUGUUAGACGGAAUGGGAGGAAAAUUACAAUUUUAUUUCUUUUUAUUCCCAUAUCUGGUCAAAUAAACUGUUUCUGACGUCGUUGUAUACAAAGCUCCGAUAGCUGGCUAGAAAAUGUUCUGAAAUUAUCAAAGGAGUUUAAUAGACUUGGGCCUACGAUUGUUUUUGGUGCCGGAUUAUCGGAAUUAAGAAGUGCCUGUUCGCGACUAAAAAGCUAUUGCGCUGUUACCUCCCGUUCUAAAUAGUGAGUGUCGUUCCUGCCAGUUGCCAUACACAAUGAAAAAACGGGAAAACCGUUCCAUUGGUUGUUGCCGUUCCAGCCACCCAUCCACCAUCAUCACCUAGCAAAUGUUUCCGGAUAAAGGUCUGAUGUUCAUAGGCAUUCCCGGUAAACGAUUUCCGGAAUGGACAAGCGGAUUACAGUGAAUGUGAUUUAAAUAUGAUGACAUAAAUUAAAAGAAAAAUGUGAUUAUGAUGUUAACGUAAAAUAAAAUAUAGGAUUGAAUUCUGUUUCUUUUCAUUA